rnacentral:rRNA from 1 species
GAUGAACGCUGGCGGCGUGCCUAAUACAUGCAAGUCGAGCGAACAGACGAGGAGCUUGCUCCUCUGACGUUAGCGGCGGACGGGUGAGUAACACGUGGAUAACCUACCUAUAAGACUGGGAUAACUUCGGGAAACCGGAGCUAAUACCGGAUAACAUGUUGAACCGCAUGGUUCAACAGUGAAAGACGGUCUUGCUGUCACUUAUAGAUGGAUCCGCGCCGCAUUAGCUAGUUGGUAAGGUAACGGCUUACCAAGGCAACGAUGCGUAGCCGACCUGAGAGGGUGAUCGGCCACACGGGAACUGAGACACGGUCCAGACUCCUACGGGAGGCAGCAGUAGGGAAUCUUCCGCAAGGGGCGAAAGCCGGACGGAGCAACGCCGCGUGAGUGAAGAAGGUCUUCGGAUCGUAAAACUCUGUUAUUAGGGAAGAACAAAUGUGUAAGUAACUAUGCACGUCUUGACGGUACCUAAUCAGAAAGCCACGGCUAACUACGUG